AAGUCAGAAAAUCGCAUUUGUUUGAGUGUACCUACUAUUAAUAUUGUUAGUUGCUUGUAGCUUCCUAUAGUACAUUAAUACCUGCAUAACAUCUAAGUUUCUGUGAAUAAUUAGUUUAGUAUUUGUUUUUAAUGUGAAUAAACCCAGUACAGUGUUUGUUAAUGCGCAAUCAUGUUGUGUGGUCAGGCUGUCAGUGUUCUGCUCUGGAAUAAUAGGACGUAAUGAACUGUAGGAGUCUUCGCCCUCUCUUCCCCAAAGGCUUUUUUCAGCACCAGCUGUUCAUUAAGCAAAAUAUGCAAACAAGGUCUGGCCCUCCUCUGCCCCGCCCCCAAUCCUCAGCCAGGCAUCGCUUAUCAAACAAAAUUUGCUAGACAAAACAAGACCAAACUAUCAAAGACAUCAAAUUUCAACAUGUGGCACCUACUGUGCUCAGUUGGUCGAGCGUUGUGUUAGCAGUUCAAAGGUUGAGGGUUUGAUUAUUAGGGAACGCACACACUGAUAAUAUACAAUUUUAUUUAAGGUCUGCCAAAUGUAUACAUGUAAAUAGAGAAAACGUUUAAGAGAGGGUGUUUAUUUAAGGUGGAAGACUUUUUUAAGAAGUCAAAUAAAUAUUUGGUGUCCCCAGAGUAUGUACGUGAAGUUUUAGCUCAAAAUACCAUAUAGAUAAUUUAUUAUAACAUAAUAAAAUAGCCACUUUGUUGGUAUUAGCAAAAAUGUGCCGUUUUUGGGUGUGUCCUUUAAAAUGCAAAUGAGCUGAUCUCUGCACUAAAUGGCAGUGCUGUGGUUGGAUAGUGCAGAUUAAGGGGCGGUAUUAUCCCCUUCUGACAUCACAGGGGGAGCUAAAUUUUGCUUGCAAAGAAUGGUUUACCGAAACUAAGUUUCUGGGUUGAUCUUUUUCACAUUUUCUAGGUUGAUUAAAGCACAGGGGACCCAAUUUUAGCAGUUAAACAUAGAAAAAGUCAGAUUUUUGUUAUAUGUCCCCUUUAAUAGAGUUGUUUCUUUAUACAUGUAUCAGCUUUAUCUAAAACGUCUUCCCUAAAUUUAGCUUUUUCUACAUAAAAUUGUUGACACAGAUGAAUAAAGUAAAUCUCAAUUAGAUCUCUAUUUAAUCUCUGGUCUGUAUCAUUAAAUGUAAAUGUACCAGAGAUGAGGUGACUUCUUCUCAGAGAUUAUCAUUUAGUGCACAUCCACUGUUCUUUUAAUAAUGCUCAAACUGUGUGACGUUAUGCCGCUCACUUGCACCAGUCCCAAAGUUUGAGCUGUCACUACAUUGGAAAUCAAUUUGUUGUGUGUAGAAAAAGGAGAAGAGAAAACACGAAUUAAAAAUUAAACUGACAGGCAGACAGAAGCAUAUUUAUUUAUAAGCAGUUUAAACAUUUUCUGGAAGUAUGCAUGUGUUUGCGAGUAUGAAGACAGAAUUAAAGGUCCUCGUGUGCGGAGAGCUUCAGCAGAGCCCGAGGCAUCCGUCCAGUGUUGUUCCUCGGAGACGAAUGAGAGAAGACGUAGCGGCCACUCACCUGUUGCCCCGUGACGAGGAGGAUGGAGCCUUCUUUGGCAUGCAUAACCUGCCGAAAAAUGUGGUCCAGGAUGAGGAGUUCGCUCCAGCAGUUUUGGAGGAGCUUCAUUUGGUCGUCAACCUGAAGAGAAGACAUGCAGAGUGAGUGCAGCAGUAUGCAGUACGAGUCCAUCAGCUCUCGGGCAGGAACUUCAAGUUCAUGACAGGCUUUUAUCCCUCAUCAAAGCAACAAGUGGAUGAACAGACUCUCUUCCGACUUCUCUAACCCCUCCCUUGAGUCCGGCAGGCCCUGAGGGGAGAUCGGACCUUAAAUCUUUCCUUUUAACAAGUGUACGCACUUCCUUCCUCGCACGGUUUGGAGAAGAAAAAUAAGUGUCUCUGGGAAAUAACCGAAGCUUUGUGUGGAGGAUGGUCGCUGACAGAAGAAAACUUCAGUUUCAAUCUGGUUAAUAUUCAUGAUGGCUGUAAAUUGGUGUGGGAGCGCGAGAGAGGCUGGUGUCUGGAGUUGGAGUGCAACGUUUAGCCACGAGGCGAAUAAAAGCAAAACAACAUCUGAAUGAGCCACACUGACAGACUGCACCGUCGCCUCCACCUGACCCCUGAGCAGGGCAAUAGCCAUCCACACACCCGCCCCAUCGACCCAGCCGAGCAGAAAGCAAAACCCAAGCCGACGAUGCACGCUUUUCUUCCUGUUUGGCAACAGACCUGUUCUCCCAAAUCUGGACGCGUUCCCGAAUCAAACAUGCAUCUUCAAUUUGGCCUUACAGUAUUUCUCAAAUCAUGGCGACAAUGGAAACAGAGAUCUGAUUGGAAGGAGGAGAGGAGAACAAAUUGAGUCAUCCCUCAAAAGUGAAAAGUAAUCUUUCAGAUUCCAUAUCCACCUAAAAUACGAUGAUUUAUCCUACUAGAGUGACUCCAGACCUAAUGGCUUCGGCUAAUGGAAACUAAAGCGGAAAGCCGCAGCCCCCCUCCGGCCUACCAAGCAAUUCCCACAUAAAACAACUCAGCAUGUCCGUUUUCUGAAGCUUGGAAAGACAUUGAUGAAUCUUCAGAGACCAAGAUGCCAUCGCAGUCUGGUCUCCACCCCUUGAAGAAGUUCUCCUCUGUUCCUCCUCCGACAUCCUGGUACAUAUAACAAUGCUCUGUCCACACAGAGGGGCUGAACUUACUGUACGGUACAAGCUGUAUGAAUGAAAUGUUUUGUACAUGUGUUCUAUUUAAUAGACGUACACACCAUUAACUAAAUUAUUAAAUUACAAUGUUUAUAUAUGAGUUUUAUUUUUUUAAGCCGUGUUAUAAAUUUGAAAUGGAAGUAUAUUAAUGUUGUAAAUGAAUACAUCUAAAUGAAAAC